CCUACGGGAGGCAGCAGUGGGGAAUAUUGGGCAAUGGAGGAAACUCUGACCAAGCGACGCCGCGUGCGGGAUGAAGGCCUUCGGGUUGUAAACCGCUUUCAGCAGGGAAGAAGCGAAAGUGACGGUACCUGCAGAAGAAGCACCGGCUAACUAUGUGCCAGCAGCCGCGGUAAUACAUAGGGUGCAAGCGUUGUCCGGAAUUAUUGGGCGUAAAGAGCUCGUAGGUGGUUCGUCACGUCGGAUGUGAAAAUCUGGGGCUUAACCCCAGACCUGCAUUCGAUACGGGCGAGCUUGAGUAUGGUAGGGGAGUCUGGAAUUCCUGGUGUAGCGGUGGAAUGCGCAGAUAUCAGGAGGAACACCAAUGGCGAAGGCAGGACUCUGGGGCCAUUACUGACACUGAGGAGCGAAAGCGUGGGGAGCGAACAGGAUUAGGUACCCUGGUAGUCCACGCCGUAAACGGUGGGCACUAGUUGUGGGGACCUUCCACGGUCUCUGCGACGCAGCUAACGCAUUAAGUGCCCCGCCUGGGGAGUACGAUCGCAAGAUUAAAACUCAAAGGAAUUGACGG
rnacentral:rRNA from 1 species